rnacentral:rRNA from 1 species
UACGAGGGGUGCAAGCGUUGCUCGGAAUUAUUGGGCGUAAAGGGUAGGUAGGUGGUCUCGUUUGUCUGGGGUGAAAGCCUUGAGCUUAACUCAAGAAGUGCCUCGGAAACGGCGAGACUGGAGUCUUGGAGAGGGUCGUGGAAUUCCCGGUGUAGCGGUGAAAUGCGUAGAGAUCGGGAGGAACACCAGAGGCGAAGGCGGCCAUCUGGAUCAACACUGACGCUGAGGCACGAAAGCGUGGGGAGCAAACAGG